rnacentral:rRNA from 1 species
GUCCACGCAGUAAACGAUGAAUACUAGCUGUUGGCGAUAUAAUGUCAGCGGUACAGCGAAAGUGUUAAGUAUUCCACCUGGGGAGUACGCCGGCAACGGUGAAACUCAAAGGAAUUGACGGGGGCCCGCACAAGCGGAGGAACAUGUGGUUUAAUUCGAUGAUACGCGAGGAACCUUACCCGGGCUUGAAAGUUAGUGACGGACUUGGAACAGGUCUUUCCUUCGGGACACGAAACUAGGUGCUGCAUGGUUGUCGU